rnacentral:tRNA from 1 species
GGGGUGCAGCUCAGUGGUAGAGUGCUUGCCUUGCAUGUGUGAGGCACUGGGUUCAAUCCUUAGCACCACA